rnacentral:rRNA from 1 species
AUAAUGGGUCAGCGACUUAUAUUCUGUAGCAAGGUUAACCGAAUAGGGGAGCCGAAGGGAAACCGAGUCUUAACUGGGCGUUAAGUUGCAGGGUAUAGACCCGAAACCCGGUGAUCUAGCCAUGGGCAGGUUGAAGGUUGGGUAACACUAACUGGAGGACCGAACCGACUAAUGUUGAAAAAUUAGCGGAUGACUUGUGGCUGGGGGUGAAAGGCCAAUCAAACCGGGAGAUAGCUGGUUCUCCCCGAAAGCUAUUUAGGUAGCGCCUCGUGAAUUCAUCUCCGGGGGUAGAGCACUGUUUCGGCAAGGGGGUCAUCCCGACUUACCAACCCGAUGCAAACUGCGAAUACCGGAGAAUGUUAUCACGGGAGACACACGGCGGGUGCUAACGUCCGUCGUGAAGAGGGAAACAACCCAGACCGCCAGCUAAGGUCCCAAAGUCAUGGUUAAGUGGGAAACGAUGUGGGAAGGCCCAGACAGCCAGGAUGUUGGCUUAGAAGCAGCCAUCAUUUAAAGAAAGCGUAAUAGCUCACUGGUCGAGUCGGCCUGCGCGGAAGAUGUAACGGGGCUAAACCAUGCACCGAAGCUGCGGCAGCGACACUAUGUGUUGUUGGGUAGGGGAGCGUUCUGUAAGCCUGUGAAGGUGUACUGUGAGGUAUGCUGGAGGUAUCAGAAGUGCGAAUGCUGACAUAAGUAACGAUAAAGCGGGUGAAAAGCCCGCUCGCCGGAAGACCAAGGGUUCCUGUCCAACGUUAAUCGGGGCAGGGUGAGUCGACCCCUAAGGCGAGGCCGAAAGGCGUAGUCGAUGGGAAACAGGUUAAUAUUCCUGUACUUGGUGUUACUGCGAAGGGGGGACGGAGAAGGCUAUGUUGGCCGGGCGACGGUUGUCCCGGUUUAAGCGUGUAGGCUGGUUUUCCAGGCAAAUCCGGAAAACUAAGGCUGAGGCGUGAUGACGAGGCACUACGGUGCUGAAGCAACAAAUGCCCUGCUUCCAGGAAAAGCCUCUAAGCAUCAGGUAACAUCAAAUCGUACCCCAAACCGACACAGGUGGUCAGGUAGAGAAUACCAAGGCGCUUGAGAGAACUCGGGUGAAGGAACUAGGCAAAAUGGUGCCGUAACUUCGGGAGAAGGCACGCUGAUAUGUAGGUGAAGUCCCUCGCGGAUGGAGCUGAAAUCAGUCGAAGAUACCAGCUGGCUGCAACUGUUUAUUAAAAACACAGCACUGUGCAAACACGAAAGUGGACGUAUACGGUGUGACGCCUGCCCGGUGCCGGAAGGUUAAUUGAUGGGGUUAGCGCAAGCGAAGCUCUUGAUCGAAGCCCCGGUAAACGGCGGCCGUAACUAUAACGGUCCUAAGGUAGCGAAAUUCCUUGUCGGGUAAGUUCCGACCUGCACGAAUGGCGUAAUGAUGGCCAGGCUGUCUCCACCCGAGACUCAGUGAAAUUGAACUCGCUGUGAAGAUGCAGUGUACCCGCGGCAAGACGGAAAGACCCCGUGAACCUUUACUAUAGCUUGACACUGAACAUUGAGCCUUGAUGUGUAGGAUAGGUGGGAGGCUUUGAAGUGUGGACGCCAGUCUGCAUGGAGCCGGCCUUGAAAUACCACCCUUUAAUGUUUGAUGUUCUAACGUGGACCCGUAAUCCGGGUUGCGGACAGUGUCUGGUGGGUAGUUUGACUGGGGCGGUCUCCUCCUAAAGAGUAACGGAGGAGCACGAAGGUUGGCUAAUCCUGGUCGGACAUCAGGAGGUUAGUGCAAUGGCAUAAGCCAGCUUGACUGCGAGCGUGACGGCGCGAGCAGGUGCGAAAGCAGGUCAUAGUGAUCCGGUGGUUCUGAAUGGAAGGGCCAUCGCUCAACGGAUAAAAGGUACUCCGGGGAUAACAGGCUGAUACCGCCCAAGAGUUCAUAUCGACGGCGGUGUUUGGCACCUCGAUGUCGGCUCAUCACAUCCUGGGGCUGAAGUAGGUCCCAAGGGUAUGGCUGUUCGCCAUUUAAAGUGGUACGCGAGCUGGGUUUAGAACGUCGUGAGACAGUUCGGUCCCUAUCUGCCGUGGGCGCUGGAGAACUGAGGGGGGCUGCUCCUAGUACGAGAGGACCGGAGUGGACGCAUCACUGGUGUUCGGGUUGUCAUGCCAAUGGCACUGCCCGGUAGCUAAAUGCGGAAGAGAUAAGUGCUGAAAGCAUCUAAGCACGAAACUUGCCCCGAGAUGAGUUCUCCCUGACUCCUUGAGAGUCCUGAAGGAACGUUGAAGACGACGACGUUGAUAGGCCGGGUGUGUAAGCGCAGCGAUGCGUUGAGCUAACCGGUACUAAUGAACCGUGAGG